GCAUACGUCCGAGAGGAGAAAGUGGGGGACCCGCAAGGGCCUCACGCGAUUGGAUUGGCCGAUGGCCGAUUAGCUAGUUGGUGGGGUAAAGGCCUACCAAGGCGAUGAUCGGUAGCUGGUCUGAGAGGAUGAUCAGCCACACUGGGACUGAGACACGGCCCAGACUCCUACGGGAGGCAGCAGUGGGGAAUUUUGGACAAUGGGGGCAACCCUGAUCCAGCCAUUCCGCGUGAGUGAAGAAGGCCUUCGGGUUGUAAAGCUCUUUUGUCCGGAGCGAAAAGGCGAGCGUGAAUAUCGCUCGCUACUGACGGUACCGGAAGAAUAAGCACCGGCUAACUACGUGCCAGCAGCCGCGGUAAUACGUAAGGGUGCGAGCGUUAAUCGGAAUUACUGGGCGUAAAGCGUGCGCAGGCGGUUUUGUAGGCCAGAUGUGAAAUCCCCGGGCUCAACCUGGGAAUGGCAUUUGGGACUGCAAGGCUCGAGUGCGGCAGGGGAGACUGGAAUUCCUGGUGUAGCAAGUGGAAUGCGUAGAUAUCAGGAGGAAUACCCGAUGGCGAAAGCAGGUCUCUGGGCCUGACACUGACGCUUCAUGCCCCGAAAGCGUGG
rnacentral:rRNA from 1 species